UGAAGCAAGCGCGAGAAAAAACGUGGAUGUAGUACGAGACUGGGACCCAUAGAGAUUAUAAAUAACACUAGAGGAGGCAUCGAGUUUAAAAAUUGGGAACGCAGCUAAUGGGGGGCAAAUUCAAGUCCCGGAUAUAAAAUCGUACUCUCAUUGGCUGAUUUGAAACUCGUCACCAAUGGGAACACGAAUACACAUCCGGGACUUAAAUU